rnacentral:rRNA from 1 species
GUGCAGCAGUCGAGAACCUUUGCAAUGCGCGAAAGCGUGACAAGGUGACUCCGAGUGCUCAUGCGUAAGCAUGAGCUUUUCCCGAGUGUAAACAGCUCGGGGAAUAAGGGCCGGGCAAUACCCGUGCCAGCCGCCGCGGUAAUACGGGAGGCCCGAGUGGUGCCCGCGAUUACUGGGCUUAAAGCGUCCGUAGCCGGUCCGGUAAGUCCUUGGUGAAAGCCCCAGGCUUAACCUGGGGAGGUGCCAAGGAUACUGCCGGUCUAGGGAGCGGGAGAGGCGAGGGGUACUCCGGGGGUAGCGGUGAAAUGCGUUGAUCCUCGGGGGACCACCGGUAGCGAAGGCGCCUCGCUGGAACGCGUCCGACGGUGAGGGACGAAGGCCAGGGGAGCGACCCGGA